rnacentral:rRNA from 2 species
AAACAACUUGACAUCUGACCUCAAAUCAGGUAGGACUACCCGCUGAACUUAAGCAUAUCAAUAAGCGGAGGA